CUUCGGUGCUAGUGGCAGACGGGUGAGUAACACGUGGGAACGUACCUUUCGGUUCGGAAUAAUUCAGGGAAACUUGGACUAAUACCGGAUACGCCCUUCGGGGGAAAGAUUUAUCGCCGAUAGAUCGGCCCGCGUCUGAUUAGCUAGUUGGUGAGGUAAUGGCUCACCAAGGCGACGAUCAGUAGCUGGUCUGAGAGGAUGAUCAGCCACAUUGGGACUGAGACACGGCCCAAACUCCUACGGGAGGCAGCAGUGGGGAAUAUUGGACAAUGGGCGCAAGCCUGAUCCAGCCAUGCCGCGUGAGUGAUGAAGGCCUUAGGGUUGUAAAGCUCUUUUGUCCGGGAAGAUAAUGACUGUACCGGAAGAAUAAGCCCCGGCUAACUUCGUGCCAGCAGCCGCGGUAAUACGAAGGGGGCUAGCGUUGCUCGGAAUCACUGGGCGUAAAGGGCGCGUA
rnacentral:rRNA from 1 species